rnacentral:rRNA from 1 species
GACGAACGCUGGCGGCGUGCCUAAUACAUGCAAGUAGAACGCUGAAGGAGGAGCUUGCUUCUCUGGAUGAGUUGCGAACGGGUGAGUAACACGUAGGUAACCUGCCUGUGAGCGGGGGAUAACUAUUGGAAACGAUAGCUAAUACCGCAUAAGAGUAGAUGUUGCAUGACAUUGGCUGGAAAGGUGCAGUGGCAUCGCUACCAGAUGGACCUGCGUUGUAUUAGGUAGUUGGUGGGGUAACGGCUUACCAAGGCGGAGAUCCAUAGCCCACGGGAGAGGGGGAUCGGCCAGACUGGGAGGGAGACCCGGCCCAGUGUGCUAGGGGUGGCAGCAGUAGGGAAACGUGGGGCAUGGGCGGAAGUCUGACCGCGAAACGCCGAGUGCGGGUAGAAGGUUGUCGGAUCGUAAAGCACGGUUGUCAGAGUAGAAACAGCGUGAGCGUGGAACGAUCACACUGUGACGGUAUCUGAUAAGAAAGCAACGGCUAACUACGUG